UCUCUGAUUCUCUUUUUUAUUUUUAUUUUUAUUUUUUUUAUAAAUUAUUAUGUUAAUAUUUUUUUAGUUGUUAAUAAAGCUCAGAUCUAUUCCGUAAAUAUCCGAUGUGGGACUUAUUAUUAUAUGUGGGUGUGUGAUGAAUCCCAUAUCGGCUAUUUACGAUAUGUGUGGACUUAUCAUCAUGUAUAGGUGUGUGAUGAGUCCCAGAUCGAUUAUUUACAAUAUGUGUGAUUGUGUGAUGAAUCUCACCUCGGGUAAUUACGGUAAUACUGGGUAAUUACGGUAAUACUGGGUAGACUUUAUUAACAGCUACAACAGCCUCAAUUAGGACUAGUCCAGUUACAUGAUGAUGUGUAGGGUGUGUGAUGAAUAUCUACUGGCUAGAUUUAAAGCCUAAAUCUAUUCAAUAAAUCCUCGAUGUGGGACCCUUUACAUAUUUACAAUCCCGUGAGAUUCAUCACAUACUUACACACAUCACACGUGUGUGAUGAAUCCUAUGUCAAGUAUUUAUCGCACACGAGUAUGAGUGUGAUGAAUCUCACAUCAAAAAUUUACUGCUAAAUCUGAGAUUUAUUAACAACUACGGAUCCUCAAUUGUGACUCGACUUUUUUAGGUAUGCGUCGUUACAACUUCCAACCACUUUGAUCUCUUCCAUUAUCUUGGUUUUCGAAAAAAAAAAAAAAAAAUUUCUAUACAACCUUUUCAAAACUUAUCACGCGCUAUUACAGUUGCUAUUACAGUUAUAAAUCAAAGGUAAUGCUAACGAGAGUCUUUAGUCACUUGUUAAUAAUUUAUUUUAAGAAAAUUUUGAUAUUAUUUUUAUGAAAAAUGAAAAAAAUGGUUAAAAUAUUAAUUUUUUUUUAUUUCUUAUAAAAUCUUUCUUUAAAUAGAUUAUUAACGGGCCGCCCACAAUUAAAAAAUUUUCUUUCUUUCUUAUUUGAACCUACCUGAAGCCUAGAAAUCAAAUCAAAUUACAAUUGAACCAUCUGUUGUUGCGUUGCCUGUUAGGUGAGUGAGUUUAAACUUGCACCUUUCGUAUUUUUAUACACUUUUUUACCCAUACGUAUUUUCACAAAAGUUUUUAAACAACAAUUUUCAGUUUUUAAACACAUGUACCAAACAGAUGUAUCGUUAGACACAUUUUCACCCUCACAUCUUUUAAAAAACUUACAACAACCAUUCUCAAACUAAUCUACCAAACACCCCUUACUCUCUUAACCGUUGGAUCUAAGAAACUCAUUGUCGAUGCAUCCAUUUUGAACCUACCUUAAGUCUAGAAAUCAAAUCAAAUCACAAUUAAACCAUCUGUUGUUGCGGCUCUUACUCCCUUAACCGUUGGAUCUAAGAAGUUUACCGUUGAUGACCCAUACACUGCUUGAUCUCAUAAGCCCAACACUCAAGCUCACAGCUGUUGCAUCUUUCACUCUCUCUGUCUCUCACGUUUAGUUUAAUUUAGUUAGUUUUUUUUUUUUUAUUGGAAUUUGAUGGAAUGAUUUGGCAUGUAAGAUUCACAUUUAUUUUGUUUCAAAUAUUUUAAAGGGCUGUGCAAAUUUUUUGGUAAAAUUUGUUGAUUGGGCUAUAAGUUUUCUUUUACUUUUUAUUAUUGAUUUUGUUGUUGAGUUAAUAUUUUUGGGCAUUCUAAUUUGUUUUUCGAAUUUUAGAUCAGUAAUUUUAAUAUGGGCCUUUUUCUUUUCUUUAUUCCCCCCCCCAAAAAAAAAAGAAGCCAAUGAGCUCCCUGCGUUUAGCAAACCCCACGGUUUUGUUGCGGUUCGAACGGUCCCCAGUUUUGUGGAUUUAAGAAUUGGACUGAUGUCUGGGUUUAGGUUAAUCCGGUUCAACCGGCCAGUCCAGUCCGGUUUUCAAAAUAAUGUACUCCACCCUUCUACACCUCUUCAUCUAAGAUCACCAAAUAUCUCAUUGCCCACAGAGAUCUUCUUUUAUUUAUUUAUUUAUUUGGUAGCUAAUUUGAGUUUGGGGUGAGUUUGUAGUUUAAUAUAUCCAAGUACCCCAACAAAUACACAUCUUCCUCGAUCAAAACCUAUACCCUAUCUCCCAUUCCCCUUCUCUCCCGUUUCACCCACAACCACCACAACUCAGCAGGCAGCAGCAGCAGCAGCACCACCCACAACAACCGCAAACUCUCUGGAUCGAAGAAGAGCCUUUCUCUUUCUCAGUGUAUCUGAGUUCCUUCCUUUUCCUGUCUUCCUCUCCCUCAUAAAUUGGAUCUGGAAUGAAAAUUUAUAAAUAUUUUGUCAUUCUUUUGUUGGUGAUUGGGAUGUUUCUCACAGCGGAUUCGCGUUUGCCUCAGAACUUGAGAGAGUUAAGAUCGGAAACCAUGAAGAAAGGAGACACAAAAGAGUUUUCUGCAGAUUCAAAUAAGGAUCCAUUCAACCCGUAUCCGCAUGACCCCCGACACAACAAAAUGAAUCCCUGAUCUCGUUUGAGGAACAGCAAUAAGAGUUUGAGUUUUUGUAUUUCGUUGAUCUUCAGAUUUUAUAUAUUUUAGUGUUUGGAUUGUUUGGCGUGAGCUGGGUUAUUCAUCAAUCUGUAGUGGGGCUUUUAGAGAGAAAUAGUAGGUGCUUUGAAAAUAAGGAUAGAUCAAUCUCUUAUUGUGGUGUCUCUGUAAUGGCGUGUUCCCCUUUUUUGAUAUCAAUAAACGAAUUACUUAUCAAUAUAUAUAUAUAUAUAUAUAUAUAUAUAUAUAUUUCAGUGUUCUUACUUAUCAAAAAAACGAUAUCAAUCCUUCUUGUGGACCUAAUAAUUUCUCCGUUUAUUGGGCAUCGGUUACUUAGAAUAUUGAUUGAAUAAUUAAGUUCAUUCUUUUUUCUAUCAACUUAAGCUUUUGGAUUUAAAUGGUAAUAAUUUAUUUGGUCUUACAGCAAGUGGUCCUAAUUUCAAAUUAUGUCUUCACUUUAUAAUUAAUUACGCAUGUUGGGUUGCAUUUAAGCAUACUUUGCUGUAUUUUCUAGCAUUAGCUUUGCUCUUUCAUUUUGAGAAGAAAAAUUCAAAAUUGAUUUGUUUAUCAUAGAAGAGGGGGCUUUUGUUUGGUUUGGUGCACAAGUGUGUGUGUGUGUGUUUGAAUAUUGUGUUUGUGUUAUGUGGGUUUGGGCUAUGUAAGCGUUUAUGAGGAACUUUAAUUGUAACUUGAAUUAGUCCAUUUGGGAUAUAGUGCAAAUGUGGCUAGCGCUUCCUCAGGUCGUGACAUUGAGAGUUAGAGCACAUGGGACUAUAUCAAGUUUGGAGAAGCUCAUAUGAGUGGAAAAUUGGGUUGAUAUUUGAUAAGCAAUCCUUUAUAAGCAACUUAUUGUACCCCUUGAGGAGAUAGUUGAUAUUUUGAUGAAUGAAAACAAUGGCCGUUUGGUCUUUCUUUGGCUUGGUGUUGACUCCAGGUCUACCCUAGGUGCUGACUUUUAGUGGUUUUUCCGCUUGGUGCUGACUCCAAGCAAGGCCUAAGUACUGACUCCUAGGUCAUAUCUUUUAUUUUUCAGUUAUUUCAGUUUUGUUCUGGUUGUCUUGCGUCAACUUAAGCAUCAGAAUAAAAGUUGUACAUCAAUUCAGGUGUAAGACAUGCUUAAUUUUCUUAUGAUCAAAUAAUUUCAUAGCAGAAUUGAUUGGAAAUAAAACCAAGCAAAUGAAUUUCAUGAAAACAUUAUAACCAGUGGAUAAACACUACUAAGACUUCAUCUAAUUGCUGUACAUCAGCAUGCUAUUUUGAGUGGAGAGCAUCUUCAGGUCAAUGUUGACUAACCAUUGCCAUUAAUUAGGUUUUCAGAGAGAAUGACAGUUCUCUUGGCACAUAGAACUGAACAGGUGCCACCAAUUCAUGCAGUAAUAGUGGGAAGUGACAUGAAUGCUCAAACGAAGUUUGAGACAGAACUGCGGAGCUUUGUACUAGAGAAAAAAAUUCAGGACCGUGUUCACUUUGUCAACAAAACCCUGACAGUAGCUCCUUAUUUUGCUUCCAUUGAUGUUCUUGUUCAGAACUCCCAGUCCAACUGUUUAAACUAAUUGCUGUGUGGGCCCGAGGAGAGUGCUUUGGGAGGAUAACCAUUGAAGCAAUGGCCUUUCAGCUGCCUCUGUUGGCCGAUGAGUUCCAGCUCAAAUGACACAUCCUCCCUUGCAAGAGCAACAUGUAGGGUGAGGUUGGCCAAUAAGUUCUAGCUCAAAUGGCAACUCCUCCCAAUGUAAGAACAAGGUGAAGGGUGAGGUCAUUGUUCAAAACCCACUUGGUACAUGUGUAAUUACCAAUGAGAGAAAAAAACGAGGGUAAGGUUGUGGGUUCAAAACUCAUUAGGUGCGUGUGUAACUUAUCAAAAAAGAAUAUAAUGUUAUAUCAUUUGGAGUGGAAACUUCCGUUUUCCUCAAAGGUUUAGUUUCAAUUUUGUUUAUUUUCAUAUUGUGUUUGUCAAUCAUCAAUUAUUUUGGCUGUUUUGCUCAGCAUUUGCUAGCAUUAAAUAUAUUAUCAAUUUUGGAUUGAGUUUGUUUUGAUUUGUUUUAUUUUAUUUAUUCAUAUCUUUUCAUCGUCUACCCCUCUCUUGUCAUAUUAUAAUUAUACCACUCUUUUUGCCCUGUUUUAGGAAUUUAUUUUGGAAACAGUAUACAUUUUUUUUAAAACCAUUAACUGCAUAGAUCCUUGUAACUGCACUUGUACAGUAUGAUGGCUUUAUUUUCUUUGAACAAAACUUGAAUAUCAAGCUUAUUAUCUUUCAAUUUUUCAUAUAAUUUUUCUGAUAAUUGCCCCUUCUAGAAAAUUAUUCUCAUAUGAUAGAAUGUGUUUUUUGUUGACUGAAGAAGGUAGGAUAGAAUGGGUUUAAAACUCCUUAGGUGUGUGUAACUUACCAAGCAAAAAAAAGAAAAAAAAAAGAAAAAAAAAACAGAUUGUUUUGUGAUCUCGUUUUUGGUUGGAUCAUCUUCUCCACGUGUGCACUAACGCCCAUAUGCGUGUUUGUGUGUUUUGAUUUCUCCUCAUGUUCCAAUUGACAUCAUUGUUCUCGUCACUGACAAUAUUAUCAGGGCACUGCAGGUGGAGGCACCAUGGAAAUAGUGGUGAAUUGGACGACAGGUUUGUUGCAUCCUGCUGCAAAGGAAGGUGUGACACCUCUUGCAAAUAACAUUGUCAAAUUGGCCACACAUGUAGAAAGGAGGCUAACAAUGGGAAGGAAAGGAUAUGAGAGGGUGAAGGAGAGGUUUCUGGAACCCCACAUGUCACAUAGAAUUGCUCUGGUUUUGAAGGAUGUUCUUCAGAGGGCAAAGAGCCAUGCCACUUGAAUCAAAUGAGAAAUUUUCUUCUCCUUUCAGUUUAGAGGAGCUGGGAUGCCAUCCUCAUGUAAUGAUGAAUCUCAUACACAUGAAAGUCCAUUGUACUUUAUGUAGAAGUUCCAUAGAUAAUUCAAAGUGAGUUGUGAUAUAAUAUUCGGUUUCCUCAAUUGUUUAUAGGAUCAUUGAAGUAUAUCUGGACACUGGAAAAACUUAAGGCAGUUUCUUGUUGAAAA